UAACCUGCCCUGGAGCGGGGGAUAACAUUUGGAAACAGAUGCUAAUACCGCAUAACAACAAAAGCCACAUGGCUUUUGUUUGAAAGAUGGCUUUGGCUAUCACUCUGGGAUGGACCUGCGGUGCAUUAGCUAGUUGGUAAGGUAACGGCUUACCAAGGCGAUGAUGCAUAGCCGAGUUGAGAGACUGAUCGGCCACAAUGGAACUGAGACACGGUCCAUACUCCUACGGGAGGCAGCAG
rnacentral:rRNA from 1 species